rnacentral:rRNA from 1 species
UACGAAGGGGGCUAGCGUUGUUCGGAAUUACUGGGCGUAAAGCGUGCGCAGGCGGCUUCUCAAGUCAGGGGUGAAAGCCCAGAGCUCAACUCUGGAAUUGCCUUUGAGACUGAGUGGCUUGAGUACGAGAGAAGUGAGUGGAAUUCCCAGUGUAGAGGUGAAAUUCGUAGAUAUUGGGAAGAACACCGGUGGCGAAGGCGGCUCACUGGCUCGUAACUGACGCUCAUGCACGACAGCGUGGGGAUCAAACAGG